rnacentral:rRNA from 1 species
CCUACGGGUGGCAGCAGUGAGGAAUAUUGGUCAAUGGACGAGAGUCUGAACCAGCCAAGUAGCGUGAAGGAUGACUGCCCUAUGGGUUGUAAACUUCUUUUAUAUGGGAAUAAAAUGUUCCACGUGUGGGAUUUUGUAUGUACCAUAUGAAUAAGGAUCGGCUAACUCCGUGCCAGCAGCCGCGGUAAUACGGAGGAUCCGAGCGUUAUCCGGAUUUAUUGGGUUUAAAGGAAGCGUAGGUGGAUUGUUAAGUCAGUUGUGAAAGUUUGCGGCGCAACCGUAAAAUUGCAGUUGAAACUGGCAGUCUUGAGUACAGUAGAGGUGGGCGGAAUUCGUGGUGUAGCGGUGAAAUGCUUAGAUAUCACGAAGAACUCCGAUUGCGAAGGCAGUUCACUGGACUGCAACUGACACUGAGGCUCGAAAGUGUGGGUAUCAAACAGGAUUAGAUACCCCAGUAGUC